rnacentral:rRNA from 1 species
CUUAAAAUGAAGUUCGACGGGGGCCCGCACAAGCGGUGGAGCAUGUGGUUUAAUUCGAAGCAACGCGAAGAACCUUACCAGGUCUUGACAUCCCUGACAACCGAGAGAUCGGGCGUUCCCCUCGGGGGACAGGGUGACAGGUGGUGCAUGGGUUGUCGUCAGCUCGUGUCGUGAGAUGUUGGGUUAAGUCCCGCAACGAGCGCAACCCUCGACCUUAGUUGCCAGCAUUCAGUUGGGCACUCUAAGGUGACUGCCGGCUAAAAGUCGGAGGAAGGUGGGAUGACGUCAAAUCAUCAUGCCCCUUAUGUUCUGGGCUACACACGUGCUACAAUGGCCGGUACAGACGGACGCAAAGCCGCGAGGUGGAGCAAAUCCUAAAAAGCCAGUCUCAGUUCGGAUUGCAGGCUGCAAUUCCGCCUGCAUGAAGUCGGAAUCGCUAGUAAUCGCAGGUCAGCAUACUGCGGUGAAUACGUUCCCGGGCCUU